rnacentral:rRNA from 1 species
AACGAACGCUGGCGGCAUGCCUAACACAUGCAAGUCGAACGAAGGCUUCGGCCUUAGUGGCGCACGGGUGCGUAACGCGUGGGAAUCUGCCCUUAGGUUCGGAAUAACAGUUAGAAAUGACUGCUAAUACCGGAUGAUGACGUAAGUCCAAAGAUUUAUCGCCUGAGGAUGAGCCCGCGUAGGAUUAGCUAGUUGGUGUGGUAAAGGCGCACCAAGGCGACGAUCCUUAGCUGGUCUGAGAGGAUGAUCAGCCACACUGGGACUGAGACACGGCCCAGACUCCUACGGGAGGCAGCAGUGGGGAAUAUUGGACAAGGGGCGCAAGCCUGAUCCAGCAAUGCCGCGUGAGUGAUGAAGGCCUUAGGGUUGUAAAGCUCUUUUACCCGUGAUGAUAAUGACAGUAGCGGGAGAAUAAGCCCCGGCUAACUCCGUG